rnacentral:lncRNA from 1 species
GUCUUUGCAGGCCCUGGCUGAAAAACACUAGCGCAUUUAGAUAGUGGUCGAUCAGAGAACAGAGACUGGAGGCGUGUGCACGAGGCAACGCCAUGUUUUUAUUCUUUCGUCUUUGAACGAAAACAACGACUCCUUGUCGGAAUAUUAUCGCUUCUUUACGAGAAAAAUAGCAUAAAAAUUUAUUUUAAACAGCGGUUGACAUGCUUCGAAGUACGGUAAUGGAAUAUUUAGAAUUUUUUUGUCACAAAACGUGUCGGGCGCGUAACCCUUCGUCACCCUUGGAUAGUGUCAUGAACGCACGAACAAAACGCCGCUAUUUGGAUAUAACUAUGGAUUAUUUUGAACCAAACCAACAUUUGUUAUUGAAGUAAAAGUCCUGGGAGUGCAUUCUGACGAAGAACAGCAAAGAUCUCCAGGCUCAAAGCGUCAGUCCACCAGCUGAAUACUCAGUCAGACUGGUGAAUGGGACCACUUCCUGUUCUGGGACAGUGGAAGUAUUUUAUAAAGGAGAGUGGUUAUGUCUAUGUCCUGGGUGGUGGAGCAUGAGAGAGACUAAGGUUGUGUGUAGAGAGCUGGACUGUGGGAAUCCUGUAGCUGAAUCUAGACCUCUGGUUAAAGAGGGAAGAGGAGGAGUCAGACUAGAGAG